GAGUUUGAUUCUGGCUCAGGAUGAACGCUAGCGAUAGGCUUAACACAUGCAAGUCGAGGGGCAGCAUAAAGUCAGCUUGCUGAUUUGGAUGGCGACCGGCGGAUGGGUGCGUAACGCGUAUGCAACUUACCUGUCAGAGGGGGAUAACCCGGAGAAAUUCGGACUAAUACCGCAUAUACUUGAGAUGCUGCAUGGUAUUUCAAGGAAAUAUUUAUAGCUGACAGAUAGGCAUGCGUUCCAUUAGCUGGUAGGUGAGGUAACGGCUCACCUAGGCGACGAUGGAUAGGGGAACUGAGAGGUUAAACCCCCACACUGGUACUGAGACACGGACCAGACUCCUACGGGAGGCAGCAGUGAGGAAUAUUGGUCAAUGGGCGAGAGCCUGAACCAGCCAAUUCGCGUGAAGGAUGACUGCCCUAUGGGUUGUAAACUUCUUUAGUAGGGGAUUAAAGUUUGCCUUGCGAGGCAAUUUGCAAGUACCCUAAGAAUAA
rnacentral:rRNA from 1 species